ACAUCUACAACAUGGCAAUGUAGAAAUAAAUUGAUUAAUUCUUUAAAAAAACAUAAGAACCUAAAUAAAAUGUGUUCUCAAAAUGGUCGCCACCAAGGUUUUACAUUUUGGGUUUAAACUUGAGACCAAGAGUGUCCCUUUCCACUUUUGAUCCUUACCAUCACACCCUACCACUCCUUCCUCCUCCUUAUAUCGGUUCCUCUCCCUCUUUGAAGCGCGCGCGCGCGCGCGCAACAAACCAGUCACGAUUUUUCACGCGGUGGGAGCUAGCUAGUCGAAGCCGCUCCCUACUAUAAAUAGCAUUCGAGUUCACUCUCGAGUGCGAGGCCGGUCUUGGCCUCCAACGGAGACAACAACGACAAGAGAGAACAGCUAAAAAGGGGGUAACUCGGGGGUCUCCUGCGUAAAGAGAUGGUGGUGAUCUCGAAAAAAAAAGAAAUUAGGAAGAGAAGGAUGAGGAGGAGGAGGAGGGAAGGAGGGGUGGAGGGGAGGAGAAGCAGCAAAAAAGAUUGGAAUGUUUAUAAGAGAAAAAGACCGAUCGAAAGAAGAAAAUGUUAAUGGACCGAGAAGAGCUAAGAAAAAGGAUGGGGAGAGGAGUUUAAGGGGGGAAGUUGAAGAUGUGGGGGUUGCAGAUCGGGGUUGAAGAGUAGAAAGCAAGAGUUAAACGAAACCUUGCCGAGAUCGGAGGUCUUCUAAGUGUGCGAAGAUGUAGUAAGUUUUAUUCGCACGUGAAUAAUACGACGAGAUCUCUCUGGCGCCUGGCUCCUUGUCCUCCUUUGGAUGCACACUGCAUCGGAGAACGACUGCACGCGUUAGUUAUAAAAGUAUUGAAAGAAACAGAAGUUUUCAACGAGUAGACUAGAGAUAGUCGGUUUUAUGUUUUACGUUUAUUCGUUAGUACCAAUAAACGAAGAGUACGCGUAUGCAGUGUAAUUAUCUAUAAUAUCCAGUACUAUAAAUAAAAAUAAUUAGCGAAUUUA
rnacentral:lncRNA from 1 species